rnacentral:lncRNA from 1 species
CGAGCGCUGCGCAUGCGCCGGAAGUUGCGGCCGGGAAGCCUGCGAGGUCGGUUCCGCCCGACUUUAACAUGGCGGCGCCCUUUGUCUGCUCUGAAGUGCUGUCCCUGGCCUUCUUGCGACUGUGAUGCACCUCCUUCUGAGGCGCGGUCCGGGACAUGUCAGGUAAUGAGCUGGAGAAGGGGAGCGAAGCUGGAGUUGACACAGACAAACUGUCAGAAAGGAGUAGCCUGGGCUGUGUGGAAAUCUGAGGGUCUCACUAUGCUGCUCCUGCUUCAGCCUCCCAAGUGCUGGGAUUUUAGCUGUGCG